AUUCCCAUCCUUCGAAUUAUUUUCUUGUUAUUCCAAACCGAGCCAUUUAACCAUCAUCCAUCUUUGCUACUAAAUCGAACCUAUUACUAAAUUCACCCUACUUUGAAACCUUCCGCUUACCCGUAUCUUUUCAUUCACUUCUAGUUCUAAAACCCGAAGCACAAAUGACUCUCUCGAACGACGAUCGGGCAACUAAGUGAAUUCGACUCAUCUACCCGG
rnacentral:lncRNA from 1 species